rnacentral:sRNA from 1 species
UUUGUAUCUGACAGUUUCAACAUCUGCAGUCUGAAAGUCUGUGGUUUCUGGGUUCUGUUGACUUGUAGAGUGGCUUGCCUUCUCAAGCUAUAAUCUCUUUGCUUGAUGUACCUCCGUGACAGUCUUGCAGAAUCAACUUGAAGAAAUUUUCUUUUAGAGAAGGCUCGCUUCUGCCUCUGCUCUGAGCCAAGGGGUGCCCCGCACCAGGAACUGUUACCCCUUCUGAGAGUUUUGGUUCAAAACAGAGUUUUAAGCUUAGUUUCCCCUCCUCGCUGCUGUUGCAAGGUAAUAUGCUAACAGUCAGUACUGCUCACCUUCCUCCUUCCCCCUCUCCUGCCUUUCCAGUUUGGCUCCAUGCUGCACUGCCUCACCACUGCACCAGCCUUGGUGCCCCAUCUCUGUGGCCCAGGCUUCCAGCCUCCCACCUUGGGCCCACCUCCUGGCUACUGCCGAUGCAGAUCUUUGUUUGUUUUUGAAGAAAAGGUCCCUAGAGACCUCUCCUACCUUUUGCAAGACCAUUGGUGUCUCAGUGUGUGUGUAAACAAAAAGUUUGAGUUGUGGGGAAGUUGUAGGAGAGUUCCUCAGAACUUAGUCCUUCAUGACAACAGAAGCACAGCGUUUUCUAAACAUUAAAAAUCUUAAUUACACUAAAACUCCAGGAUGGUUGGGCCAGGGGGGAAUAAAUCAUGUUAACUAAGAAAGCAAGGGAGGGAACUACUGAGAACAUCAAGGUUGGAAUCCAUAUUGCUUCAAGCCGGAGGCCAGUUCCUGGUCGGUGGCUCCCAUGGUGGUCUCUGAUGUUUAGGAAGUGGUGUCAGCAGAGACUGAGCUGCACCCUUUCUUUGGACAGAUGGCAGGAGAGGAGAACUUCAAGGAAGAGCUCAGAUCCCAGGAUGCUUCCAGGAACUUGAACCAGCAUGAGGCAGCAGGACAUCCACAUUCCUGGUCUCUGGAGAUGCUGUUACGCAGAUUGAGGGCUGUCCACACCAAACAGAAUGACAAGUUUGCCAACCUCCUGGAUGCGGUGGGGGAGUUUGGCACAUUCCAGCAGAGGCUAGUAGCCCUCACCUUUAUCCCCAGCAUCAUGUCGGCCUUCUUCAUGUUUGCUGACCACUUCGUGUUCACAGCCCAGAAGCCCUAUUGCAAUACCAGCUGGAUCCUGGCAGUGGGCCCCCACCUGUCCGAAGCUGAGCAGCUGAAUCUGACCAUACCCCAAGCACCCAAUGGCAGUUUCCUGACAUGCCUCAUGUACCUUCCUGUGCCUUGGAAUCUGGAUUCUAUCAUCCAGUUUGGCCUCAAUGACACAGACACAUGCCAAGAUGGGUGGAUCUAUCCUGAUGCUAAGAAGCGAUCACUGACCAAUGAGUUUGACUUGGUAUGUGGCAUGGAGACGAAGAAGGACACUGCACAGAUCAUGUUCAUGGCAGGGCUCCUGAUAGGCUCUCUCAUCUUCGGGCUCAUAACUGACAAGUGAGUCCCCAGGAGUUUCUGCUGGUCCCCAAGCCAUCCCAACUCCUCCUCAUGGGCAUUCAGGGUUGGAGUGUGUCAGGCUGAGGGAGGUGAGGGUAGGGGUUCUCCAGGGACCCAUGGAGGGCUCAGGGCCUGGCCCAGGUGUAUCUGGCUGGGGCCAGCCAGGGAGAUCCCGGCGCUUGGUGCAGCCUCCCUUUGACACAUGUAGGAUGGGCCGCUACCCUGCCAUCCUGCUGUCACUGCUGGGGCUGAUCAUCUUCGGCUUUGGGACAGCCUUCGUGAACAGCUUUCACCUGUAUUUGUUCUUUCGCUUUGGCAUCUCGCAGUCAGUGGUGGGCUACGCCAUCAGCAGCAUUUCUUUGGGUGAGACUGGGCCUCAAUGGGGCAGGGCAGGGUGGCACAGGGGCAUGGCGGCAUAGGCGGGUGACAAGGGGACGUAGUGGCAGGGGGCGUGGCGGCAUAGGCGGAUGGCAAGGGGGCGUGGUGUGGCUGCAAGAGGGCGUGGCGGGGGUGUGGCGUCGUGGGCACCUGCUGGGAGCCCACAGGACACACAGUCAGGGGCCUAAUUGGACAGGCAGAAGUGGAAGGGAUCUCCGUUCCUGGCUGCCUAGAGAUGCCAGAGAAUCAGUGCCCUGACUGCCCUUCCACCUUCAUCCUCCUUCCUAACUCCCUCAUACCCCACACCUUCCACCACAUACUCUUUGCAUACCCCCAAGCCCCAUGGGUUACAUUGAUUGAGCCCUUAAGAAAGGCCAGGCAAAAAAAAAAAAAAAAAAGAAGAAGAAGAAGGAGGAGGAGGAGGAGG